GACGAACGCUGGCGGCGUGCUUAACACAUGCAAGUCGAACGGACAGACAGAGAGCUUGCUCUCUUGAAGUUAGUGGCGAACGGGUGAGUAACGCGUAAUCAACCUGCCCUUCAGAGGGGGAUAACAACGGGAAACCGUUGCUAAUACCGCGUACGAUUCAUGAACGGCAUCGUUUAUGAAUGAAAGGUGGCCUCUAUGUAUAAGCUAUCGCUGAAGGAGGGGAUUGCGUCUGAUUAGCUAGUGGGAGGGGUAACGGCCCACCAAGGCAAUGAUCAGUAGCCGGUCUGAGAGGAUGAACGGCCACAUUGGGACUGAGACACGGCCCAAACUCCUACGGGAGGCAGCAGUGGGGAAUCUUCCGCAAUGGACGAAGGUCUGACGGAGCAACGCCGCGUGAGUGAUGAAGGUCUUCGGAUUGUAAAGCUCUGUUAAUCGGGACGAAAGAGUUCUGCGUGAAUAAUGCAGAAAAGUGACGGUACCGGAAUAGAAAGCCACGGCUAACUACGUGCCAGCCGCCGCGGUAA
rnacentral:rRNA from 1 species